AUUCUUUAUGCAAUUUUGAGACAAAUGUGUAUCAACAUCGUAUUUAAUUCGGAUCACUGUGAGACCUCUAUGACCAUGUAAAAAAGAUCUACAUAUGAGAGACUGAAAAAUAUGAGGACACAUUUUUAACUAAUAUUACCUACUCCACCCAAACGAAACCCAUUGAUAUGUUAUGACCAAUGCAAGCUUAUACAAUUAUUGGAUGCAUGGUGGGGACAGUCGUUUUCACUUGUAGUUGAUAUUUUGUCCAUACUUGUCGCCGCAAUCACGCACGCUCUUGAGAAAGAUGAGAUAGGUUUUUAAGGUUAGUAUUUCUUUUUAUAUUUGUCGAAUGGCGUAUUCUUACAAAGUCUUUAGUUAAGAUCGACAUUUAAUAAGACGUUUUUACUUGGUAUGAAGCAGUGUCUUACAAGGGAAUAUACUAUAUUUAUCAUUGAAAGAGGAUAAAAAUAAAGUCUGGAAGACCAUAUUGUUAAAAUGUGGGAAGGACAGAAGAUUUUUAGAAAGAAUAAUAACGGAUCUGAGUCACAAUCGUCAAUCAGAGAAUUGACAAAAUAUUUUAAAAGAAGUAUUCUGUUAAUUGAUAAUAUUAUAGUAUUGGUAUACAGUUUAUCAGGAAGCAAAAUAGAAUUUAAUAAAUAUUCCAUCAAAUAAAUAAUUCUGUUAUGAUUUUUGUAAACCGCAAGUUUUUUCUUUCAUUCCUGAAUUGGCCAACCAUUGAUGCUCAGCAAUCUGUUACUUCAUUUAAGAAUAAAAGAUGAUGACGUCGAUCCAGAAAUGUAUCAUUAUGCACUGGAUUAUUACUAUGCUAAGGAAAUGAACGCAACAAAGGAAUAUUCCAUUGUGCAAUAGUUUGGAUUGGCUUUCAAUUGGUAUAUACCAAGAAUCUGUAUUUUCAUCUCGAUUCUGUUCUCGCUGGUAAUUAUUAGAUCCUGAACAAGAAUGUCGCCACGAUAAGAUCAUGCCUCAACAAACUGUUCAAUCCUCCAUGACUACUAGAUUUUCAUUGAAUAAGAACGAUUAUUAUUUGUAUGAAAAUAGAAAAGAAAAAUAUCUUAAGGUUCAGGGAUAUUAUUCGAUAAUAUGUAUUCGUCAGUUAAUCGAUGGUUUCUCGUCGAAAGAUUCAUUAUAUUCUCUACCGAAAGAUUCAUUAUGUAUGCGAAGAUUGAGAAAAGCAAGAGAACUAUCCAAGAGAUCAUCGGAAUCAUCUGAAAGGAUAUUGAAGAACAUACAGAUGAAGACAGAGUAAAUUUAUUUAUCGAAUUUGCUAGCCUUAUAACAAUCGUAGAAGAGGAGAAAAGCAGUUUAUUACAAAU